GCCAGGUGCGGGGUGCGUGCCUGCAGUUCCAGCUACUUGGGAGGCUGAGGUGGGAGGAUCGCUUGAGCCCAGGAGUUCUGGGCUGUAGUGCGCUAUGCCGAUCAGGUGUCUGCACUGAUUUCGGCAUCAAUAUGGUGACCUCCCGGAAGCAGGGCACCACCAGGUUGCCUUAGGAGUGAACCGGCCGAGGUCGUUAAGCGAGCAGGUCAAAAAUCCCGUGCUGUUCAGUAGUGGGAUCGCCCCUGUGAACAGCCACUGCACUCCAGCCUGGGCAACACACCGAGACCCCGUCUCUU
ensembl:misc_RNA Metazoa_SRP Metazoan signal recognition particle RNA